rnacentral:piRNA from 1 species
UUAUCUUUUCAGUCUGAUUGUCUGCUCCUG